rnacentral:lncRNA from 1 species
GCCGAAGAGUGGUACGCAUCUCCACUCGGUCUUUGUAUGCUCCUCAUCCUCAGAUAGGUUGAGUGAGAGGUCGGUAAAAGUUAACGUCGGCCAACGGACUUUCCUUAUCCUUGAACAAGCCGAAACAGAGACCUUAAAAUGCCGAUUGGCCACAGCACUCUUCCUCCUAUUGCAAAAUCUUAAAUAUCGACAUCAGUGGUCAGCAAAAGCUGAUAGCAAAGUACUUUAUUUUUGGACUAAGACAAAAUGGAUGAUGACGCACCAAACUCCAAACAAAGCUCAAUGUAACUUUGGACAAAACCCUCAAAUACCAAAGACGAGAAUGAAAAUUCGUAGAAGGCCAAAUUCAAUUAUAAAAAGAUCGGUCCUCGAG